rnacentral:rRNA from 1 species
UACGUAGGGGGCAGCGUUGUCCGGAAUCAUUGGCGUAAGCAGCGUGUAGCGGCUUGGUAAGUCUCUCUGAAAGCCCGGGGCUCCAACCCCGGGAGGCGGGUGGAUACUGUCAAGCUCGAGUCCGGAAGAGGAGUGGUGGAAUUCCGUGGUGUAGCGGUGAAAUGCGCAGAUAAUCAGGAGGAACACCAAUGGCGAAGGCAGCACUCUGGGACGUGGACUCGACGCUGAGACGCGAAAGCGUGGGGAGCAAACAGG